GAGGCCUGUUGGCAGAGCCGAGGCUCCAGCUGGCCUCUGUCGGGGAAGGGGGCACCCCUCAGGCCUGGGGAGUGCCCCUGGGCAGGCUGGCGAGGCGGGGCUGGCCUGGGGCUCCCCAGGUGCUGGACAGAUGGGGAGGCCUGCAGCGUGGGGUGGGUGUCGGGCAGCGCACACUGGGCGCCCCUGUACACCCCACUGGGGCCAGCCUGUGCCUGGGACGUGUGUGAUGGGAGCCCUGGGUGGGGGCUCUGCUCUGUCCCUGGGGGUGGUGCCCAGGGGCCCGGGAGGGAGGCCAGUGCGGACAGAGGGGCUUUGUUUUCUAGGCCGCAAGGGAGCGGGGCCCAGCUUGACAAAGAGUCAUCUGUCUGUGGACGUCCCGCCAGCCCUGUCAGAGCUGGCCUGUCCCCGUCCUGGGAGACUGGUUUCUCGCGCCCAUGCCCCACCCCCGUGGGCACAGCCGAGGCUCGGCCUCCUGGUCCAGGCUGCCCUCUCCCCGGGCGCUUGACCUCGACCUGCCGCUGGUUGGCUCAGGCCCUGGACCCCGGGCCCCCCAGAGUAUGUUCUCAUUGGCACAUCCCCCACGCCUGGGGGCACCAGCUGGUCCGGGCCUUUGUCAGAGGUGGGGGCACACCCAUGGCACCUCUGCACUGGCCUCUGGCGCACCGGCCAGACCCGGCAGCGGCGAGCAGACGCCCCUGUGAGGACCGCCUGUCUGACCCUACCCCGUGGCCUGCCCCUGGGCUCUCUGCACCCCCUCCGCGGCUGGAGCCCUCCUGCCAAGGCCGUGGCUCCCUGCUGCCUGCAGUUGGGGUCCAGGUGCCUGACCCAGGCCUUCCGCCUCGGGUGUUGGGGCCACUUCUCGUCUUCCUACCACCGCCCUCCUGCCUGCUGGAUGGGAACAAGUCCACGGAAGGACUCCCUGCCUCCUGUGGACUCCCUAGGGCCGUGAGUGCCACGGCCUUUGGGAACCUGAGCUUUAAAAACGCAAGUGGAAACUCAGUGCCUUGGGGCUGUCACUCCCCCGCUGACCCUCCGGCCCAGUACAGUUCAGUCAGAAGCCCCAUGUGUCCGUGGGACUCGGGGCGCUGA
rnacentral:lncRNA from 1 species